CACGUAGGGCGCAAGCGUUGUCCGGAAUUAUUGGGCGUAAAGAGCUCGUAGGUGGUCUGUUGCGUCCGCUGUGAAAUCUCGGGGCUUAACCCCGAGCCUGCAGUCGAUACGGGCAGACUUGAGUGUUGCAGGGGAGACUGGAAUUCCUGGUGUAGCGGUGAAAUGCGCAGAUAUCAGGAGGAACACCGGUGGCGAAGGCGGGUCUCUGGGCCGAUAUUGACGCUGAGGAGCGAAAGCGUGGGGAGCGAACAGG
rnacentral:rRNA from 1 species